CAGCAACGGAAAUACCUUUUUGUAGCUGGUAGCUUUUCUUCCACCAACAGUUUUUUUUUUUGCCAGCUUUUUUUCACACCGUUUCAGAAACAGUAUUCUCAAAUUUUUUCGAAGAUGAAAACUGUUGACCUAAGUUUGCCUUUUGAGUGGUGCACACAAGGACCAUUUUGCUUCAAAACUUGCUGUGUGAUUCAUUUCGAAGAGGAACUGUGAUGCCAUGCCACAAAGUGUGAACGAUUGAACUCUCAAUUCUCACAGCAGCCCACUCAAGUUUCUCAUGAGAACAUUUAUCUAGAAUAAAAUGAAACCUUUGUUCUAAAGCCAUUUGCCACCCUCAGUUGUUCAGUGAUUGUAGCUAUGAUGACUGAUCAGUACCAUGAUUUUGAAGUGGGACCCUAACAGUCCGAAGAACGGUGCAGGAGGGACUUCAAGGAGAACUUCGCAGAAGAGAGCUCGGUUUAGUGUCACUGUCUGUGAGACGCGGCUCUCUCUCUCGUGCGCACCGAACACAGCGUGCGAGUAACCAGCUACUCAAAGUUUGUGCUCUACAAGUGAACGACGCCUUGUGUACCAUCCCAAAGAAGUUCAAAAUCACUCUCACAGACCUUUUCUUGGACUGUGGCAAGCUGGUGGAAUGACCUCCCAAUUUCAAUUCGUACAGCUGAGUCUUUACUCAUUUUCAAGAAACAUCUAAAGACUCAUCUUUUUCGCAUGCGCUUAACAAACUGAUACUAGCACUUUUUCCUUUUCUUGUUUUUUCAUUUAAAAAAAAAAAAAAAAGACUGGCUAUGCUUUCUGUACUAGACUAACUGAGACUUGUCAUGGCACUUGUAUACUGUUGUUGUUCUCUUGUUGAUCUGACUGCUUCUAUUGUUCUCAUUUGUAAGUCGCUUUGGAUAAAAGCAUCUGCUAAAUGAUUAAAUGUAAAUGUUAAUGGACAUUGAUCACAACUGUCCAAAUGUUUACAAUAGAUAAAUAAGAAAAAACACUGAAGUUUGGGUUCGGUUUUGUCAUAUAUGGCAUUAUACGAAGAAUACCUGUCUAUAAAAUAAAAUGCAUUUUUUUUUUAGUUAUAAUAUUCACUUUGAUGUUUUCUUUUAUUGUGUACUGAUCAUAUUUAUUACACUUGGAAUAAAAAGCUUCUUAAAAAACAUUAAUUUAGAGUAGAAAUAAUGAUAGGCUGGAUUAAUUAAACAAUGAUGCAAACGGGUAGCCUGGUAAUACCAGACUCUGCUACUUCACUUUGCUUCGUAGACAGAGUCUGGAAUGGCAUAACAGAGAAGUGUUUUCUCUCUCGCUAGGGGGCGCUUGUCUGAAGUUUAAAAUCAUUGGUUACCCGUAGCCAAUCAGAUACGUUUAGUUAUGACUUAUGUUAUGCGCCUGUACACUCGCAUCGAAGCACAGACAUCAUGCAUCGAACUCAAAUCUAUGAUUGAACUUCCACUGUAAACCUGUUGUUAACACAUGAUGAUGCGAGCGAAAUACCGGAGUGAACAUGGCUGUAAACGACUUUUGCAGUUUGAAAAAGAGUUGAAUGUUCUCCAUGACAGAGUGAAUUGCAUCCCGUGUCUCGUUUCCCAUUUCCGCGGUCGUUUCAGUUUUCGAUUUCUCUAACCUACAAUGUAAAACUCGGCGCUAAGCAUCUACGUCACGGCUCUCAGCCCACCCUUUGUUCGUUGAUUGGCCCGGCUGUUUCCAGACCGGUGGCAAACAGAAAGCUCUGACGCUGUAUCAGACUGAGUACAGCAGCGAAAUGAAAUUGAGCGGAAGUAGGAAGUCUGACGUAGUCAGGCUAGCAAACCGGGCAGAUAUAGUGAAUUGGGGGCCCCAGGCAAAUAUAGUAAUGGGGCCCUAUAAAUUAGCACACAUUUACCUAGAUCAACCUUCAGGUUCAUUUUUGUCGUGAUUUGUCCACAUUGUUGUGUCCAAUGUUUCUAAAUUUUUUAGGUAAAUGUUAGAAUGGGAUUGUUUAAUUUACAUUUACAUUAAUUCAUUUAGCAUUAUUAAUUUCUAUUAUUUAAUGUGGUAGACCACAAUAUAGUAAUUAAUUUACCAUUGAGAUGCAAGUUUUGACAAAAAACUAAAUAAAUUAUAAAAUGAUAAACCUGAUAAAACUGAACCUUUAAACCCUUUUUUUUUUUUUUAAGAAAAGGGAUGAAUCACAAGUAUAAAUUAUUAUAUAAUUUAAAAUGGAUUCAUGUGGGUGAAUUUUCACAUUGGUCUGAACAAAAACUGCAGACUGGAUUAUUGAAAAUGCACAUUCAUUCUCUGCCAAUAGGAGGUGCUUUUGGCACGUCAGAAAUAUAGUGGUUUACCCUGUAAAGGCUGUUAACAAAGCAGCUCAUCUCAUAAAUUACACUUAAUCAGGUAAAAUGAAAAUGUUAUAUUUUUUGAAGACAAUCAGUUCCCUUCAGAGGUAAGUAUGAGAAAAGUGUGAAAAAUUGUAGCCUAUAUUGACGAAGAAAGUCCACUGAUGAGUUACCAGCAUAAGCCUACAUUUAAGGGCUGUCAGUCAAUUAAAAUAUAUAAUCGCGAUUUAUUGCAUGAUAAUCAUGAGUUAACUCGUGAAUAAUCACAAUUUAAUCACACAUUUUUAUCUGUUCUAAAUGUACCUUAAAUUAAUAUUUUCCCCUCGGUUUCACAGAAAAGGCUUAAGCAAGUCCCAGACUAAAAUACAUGUUUGAGCUGUCUCAACUGAAAAUAUCUUGCUCUGACACAUCAUAUGUCAGUGUCAUUGUUCUGUGUCAAGAUGCACACCUGUAACAUUGUCUUCUAAUUUUUUUGUAAAAAUUUCUUAAAUAUUUUAAUUUAACUAAGGCCUAGUCCUGGUUUAAGAGAAGACCUGUUUGUGAAACCCUUCAAGUUUUUAAUCUAAUCAUCAUGGGCAUGGACAAAUGCUUUGUGUAAUAUAUUUUUAUUAUUAGUGAAACCACAGUUAACAGAGAAUGAAGAGUAGACAUGUUUCUUAGGUCAUAGAUGUUUUUCAAAGAACUUCAUGUCUAUUAGACAAAAAAAAAAAAAAAAAAAAAAACUGCACUGAGCUGUUUACUUAAAGUACACAACCUGUUUGUAUUUUUCAUAAAACAGGGCAGCUCACUUCUUCUGAACAUGCAAAAUAUACAUUUGUUAUUUAUAAAUACAUUUGUUUACCUCUCUGUGUCACAUUCUGUAUGAUGAUGCAGCUAAACUCCCCCCCCACUCUUUAUGAAAGGGUUAAAGUAAGUGCACUGUGAAAAACACAUCACCUCAGAUUUAAAGAUGAAAUAAAUACAUAUAAUUCAGAAUGAAGACAUGCAUCUGAUAUUAACAAGCUUAAUAAUUAUUGAUGUUGCUCAUGUUGUGAAACCAAGAUAUGCAACAAAAACUAAAAGCUCUCUAGUCAGUACUGAAACAGAAAAAAAACACCCCGGCAGACAGACAGGCUUACCACAAAAUGGUUCAGAGAUUGCUAUCAUGAAGAAAACAUCUGUCCCAUACCAUAGUGGAAAAGGUGACAAGAGGCCCAAGGCCAUUGAAACAAGACGGAGGUAGUAGUAAUGUCUGUGUUGUUUUCGAUUCUUUCACUCUCGGCCUCCUAUGCUGAUUACACUGGACUUAGUGCAUGCACUAUAUUUGCAAGUCGUGCAAAGAAUGGAAACUAGAAUUUUGUCAGUGGCUGAGACUUUUGGAAUUUCAGAAACAAGUAACAGUUUUGAUUAUUCUGUAGGCACCCAGCUGAAAAAUAAAUGUGCUAAGUGUACUAAAAUUUAGCAUACUUUUGUGUACUUGUGGCCACACUAAUCAUCAUUAUACUUCAAGUGUGUUCAUGAUUAGUUAACUUGAAGCUUGCUAUUUUGGAACAACUAAUUGUGUACUAAAUAUAUUUUAAUUGUAAUUAAAUUGUAGAAAAACUCAACUUGAAGUGUAUUUAGUGUACUUUUAUGUGCUAAAGUGGAACAACUUAAAGUAUAUUUUGUAUACUUUAAGCAUAUAAUAUAUGCUUAAUAAGUACCAUUAUAGUAUACUUUGUCUUAUUUAAAAUUAAUUGUUAGUGUUUUAUAAAUAUAUAAGCUGUAUACUUUUAAUAUAUUUUUACUGUGCUAAUAAUGUGCCUAAUUAAAAUUUUGGCUCAUUCCAAUUACCUACAAUGUUGAAAGAGAUUAAAAUUCUUGGGGAGCUAGUACUUUACAGACAUCAACGCCAAACCGACCUCUAUAUCAGUCCUUUACGCAUGAAUACUGCCAGUGACUUUUUGAUCUGUACACUCUCCAAGUGGUCUUGUUUGCAGUAGCCCUGUUUUUUCUCCAUUAAAUAAUACCAAUAAAAUAUUCUUUUUUUAAACACUUGUGACAAUGUUAACACAGUGUGAGUGAACUUCAUUUUUCAUAGUUAUACUAUUGAACACUUUCUAAAAGAAUGUCCUGAAGUACUAGCGUGAAUAAUUUCACUCCAUAAACAGACUAAAAUCUAACUUAAAACACUCAAACUUAAUAUUACAGUUUUUAUUUUAAAAUGUGUUAUUUUAAAAUGUGCUUUUAUUCU